CGGGCUCUCAUAUUACUAGUCAACUCUGGGUCAUAGUGGGCUAGUUUAUUAAACUUCAAAGUGUACUCCUGGACACUCAUACUACCCUACUUCAGAUUUAUAAACUCUUCCGCUUUGGCCUCCCUCAACUCCAGAGGAAAGAAUCAAUCAACGAAAGCUUCCAUAAAUUCACCCCAAACUGUGGGCUCAGCACUCUCACCUUUUGCAUCCUCCCAGCCGGC
rnacentral:lncRNA from 1 species